rnacentral:rRNA from 1 species
UUACUGGGCGUAAGCGAGUGUAGGUGGCUCAUUAAGUCACAUGUGAAAUCCCCGGGCUUAACCUGGGAACUGCAUGUGAUACUGGUGGUGCUAGAAUAUGUGAGAGGGAAGUAGAAUUCCAGGUGUAGCGGUGAAAUGCGUAGAGAUCUGGAGGAAUACCGAUGGCGAAGGCAGCUUCCUGGCAUAAUAUUGACACUGAGAUUCGAAAGCGUGGGUAGCAAACAGGAUUAGAUACCCUGGUAGUCCACGCCGUAAACGAUGUCUACUAGCCGUUGGGGUCCUUGAGACUUUAGUGGCGCAGUUAACGCGAUAAGUAGACCGCCUGGGGAGUACGGCCGCAAGGUUAAAACUCAAAUGAAUUGACGGGGGCCCGCACAAGCGGUGGAGCAUGUGGUUUAAUUCGAUGCAACGCGAAGAACCUUACCUGGUCUUGACAUAGUGAGAAUCCUGUAGAGAUGCGGGAGUGCCUUCGGGAAUUCACAUACAGGUGCUGCAUGGCUGUCGUCAGCUCGUGUCGUGAGAUGUUGGGUUAAGUCCCGCAACGAGCGCAACCCUUUUCCUUAUUUGCCAGCGGGUUAAGCCGGGAACUUUAAGGAUACUGCCAGUGACAAACUGGAGGAAGGCGGGGACGACGUCAAGUCAUCAUGGCCCUUACGACCAGGGCUACACACGUGCUACAAUGGUAGGUACAGAGGGUUGCUACACAGCGAUGUGAUGCUAAUCUCAAAAAGCCUAUCGUAGUCCGGAUUGGAGUCUGCACUCGACUCCAUGAAGUCGGAAUCGCUAGUAAUCG